ACAAUGAAGAGUUUGAUCCUGACUCAGGAUGAACGCUAGCGGCAGGCUUAACACAUGCAAGUCGAGGGGCAGCGUGGGGUAGCAAUACUCUGACGGCGACCGGCGAAAGGGUGAGUAACGCGUGAGCAACAUGCCCGUAAGAGGGGGAUAGUGGGUGGAAACGCCCCGUAAUACCCCGUAACAACAGAGGCCGCAUG
rnacentral:rRNA from 1 species